GAACUGCGAUAAGUAAUGUGAAUUGCAGAAUUCAGUGAAUCAUCGAAUCUUUGAACGCACAUUGCGCUCCUUGGUAUUCCUUGGAGCAUGCCUGUUUGAGUAUCAUGAAAUCUUCAAAGUAAAUCUUUUGUUAACUCAAUUGGUUUCUACUUUGGUAUUGGAGGUCUUUGCAGCUUCACACCUGCUCCUCUUUGUUCAUUAGCUGGAUCUCAGUGUUAUGCUUGGUUCCACUCGGCGUGAUAAGUUAUCUAUCGCUGAGGACACUGUAAAAGGUGGCCAAGGUAAAUGCAGAUGAACCGCUUCUAAUAGUCCAUUGACUUGGACAAUACUUUUAUGAUCUGAUCUCAAAUCAGGUAGGACUACCCGCUGAACUUAAGC
rnacentral:misc_RNA from 1 species